rnacentral:rRNA from 1 species
UACGUAGGGUGCGAGCGUUGUCCGGAAUUAUUGGGCGUAAAGAGCUCGUAGGCGGUGUGUCACGUCGGCCGUGAAAACCUGCAGCUUAACUGUGGGCGUGCGGUCGAUACGGGCAUCACUGGAGUUCGGCAGGGGAGACUGGAAUUCCUGGUGUAGCGGUGAAAUGCGCAGAUAUCAGGAGGAACACCGGUGGCGAAGGCGGGUCUCUGGGCCGAUACUGACGCUGGAGGAGCGGAAAGCGUGGGGAGCAAACAGG